AUUAUUAAUGCAUUUCUAAAAAAAAAAAAUUGUAUAAAUGUGGAAACUCAAAAUUGAAUUGAAUUGAGUGGAUUGAAAGAAUAUUAAUAAUAAUAAAAAAAAAAAUUGGAAUCAAAUCCAUCCAGGCGAUUGUGAAUCAUAUUGAAUUGUUUCUGGAAAUUAUUAUUGAUACCCAGCCCAAAUUGCAACAACAGUUGAUGAGUUACGGCAGGUGAAAGAAUAAGUAAAGGGUUACAGUCUACUUGAGUAGAUUGAGAAGAAUCUACUGGAACUUCAAGAAAAAAAAAACAAAGCCUGACCAACUUUAUGCUGAAAAUAUCCAGUUCUCUGUGUAGAGGUCAUUUCAAGACCACAUGCAUUUAUAAAGACUGUUAAUAAUAUCUUAAAAAAUCCUUACAAACUGCUUUGUUUCCUAGAAAACAUCACCAGAUCUACAUGCUGCCAUCUUCAUGUUGCAGAAAAAACAAGGAAACCCAAGAGGAUCCACUCAGCCAUGAGAAAUGGGACAAGAAGACAAAUAAGAAAAUCCAGCUAACAGACAAAACUGACUCAAAACAAGAAGACGGAUGGAACGUUUUGUAGAGGCUGGCUGGAUUUCCUGGAGCAGCAAAGCGGCAGAAGUUGCCAGCUCUACACAUUGCAGGAACACUUGUUAUAAGUUCCAUCUGUGUGGUUGUGAAACUCCUAUUUGCUUUAAAGGAUGAGCCCUAAUGCUGCUGCUUCUUCACCAAUGGCAACCGUUUUAAGCCUAAAGUGAAGGCACCUUGAUGCAGCAAAAACAGUUUUAAAGCCAUGCAAUACUACGAGUCCAGCGAAGGGGAACAUGGUCAAUCAAGGCUCUGUGGUGUUUGGUUGUUUCGAGUGUGGUAUGCAUCUGAAUUGAUCAAUUGUUUCAUCAAAAAAGAAGACUACACUAUAACAGAUUACUGUAAACUGGACAAUAUUUUAGUGCAAUAACAAUAGUAAAAUACUGCACAAAGACUUUGCAGUAUUUUACUGUAAACAUAGUUGAACUGUAGGAAUUCACUGUAAGAUGCAAUGAAUUGUGGGAGUUUACUGUAAAAUGCAAUAAAUUGUGGCAAUUUACUGUAAAAAAAAAAAA